rnacentral:rRNA from 1 species
GCCCUUGAGUUUGAUCCUGGCUCAGGAUGAACGCUGGCGGCAGGCCUAAUACAUGCAAGUCGAACGGGAUCCGGUGUAGUAAUACACUGGUGAGAGUGGCGCACGGGUGCGUAACACGUAUGCAACCUACCUUUAACCGGGACACAACCCUCCGAAAGGGGGGCUAAUAUUCCAUGUGAUUAUUUUUUGGCAUCAAGAGAUAAUUAAAGAUUUAUUGGUUAAAGAUGGGCAUGCGUCCCAUUAGCUAGUUGAUGAGGUAACGGCUCACCAAGGCUAUGAUGGGUAGGGGUUCUGAGAGGAUAUACCCCCACACUGGUACUGAGACACGGACCAGACUCCUACGGGAGGCAGCAGUAAGGAAUAUUGGUCAAUGGGCGCAAGCCUGAACCAGCCAUGCCGCGUGCAGGAAGACGGCCCUAUGGGUUGUAAACUGCUUUUGUCAGGGGAUAAACCUAUCCACGAGUUGGGUAGCUGAAGGUACCUGAAGAAUAAGGAUCGGCUAACUCCGUGCCAGCAGCCGCGGUAAUACGGAGGAUCCGAGCGUUAUCCGGAUUUAUUGGGUUUAAAGGGUGCGCAGGCGGACUGGUAAGUCAGGGGUGAAAUUCUACGGCUCAACUGUAGGCGUGCCUUUGAUACUGCCAGACUAGAGUUAAGUUGGAGUGGGCGGAAUGUGUUGUGUAGCGGUGAAAUGCUUAGAUAUAACACAGAACACCGAUCGCGAAGGCAGCUCACUAAACUUUGACUGACGCUCAUGCACGAAAGCGUGGGGAUCAAACAGGAUUAGAUACCCUGGUAGUCCACGCUGUAAACGAUGAUCACUCGCUGUUGGCG